AUCUAUGGCCAUACGAUCCUGACCUCAGAUCCUAAGCAGGGUCGGGCCAGGUCAGUACUUAAAUAGGGCACUGCCUGAGAAUAAGGAGGAUGGUAGAUU
ensembl:rRNA 5S_rRNA 5S ribosomal RNA